rnacentral:rRNA from 1 species
UACGGAGGGGGCUAGCGUUGUUCGGAAUUACUGGGCGUAAAGCGCACGUAGGCGGCUUUGCAAGUUAGAGGUGAAAGCCCGGGGCUCAACUCCGGAAUUGCCUUUAAAACUGCAUCGCUAGAAUUGUGGAGAGGUAAGUGGAAUUCCGGAGUGUAGAGGUGGAAAUUCGUAGAUAUUCGGAAGAACACCAGUGGCGAAGGCGACUUACUGGACACAUAUUGACGCUGAGGUGCGAAAGCGUGGGGAGCAAACAGG